GGGGUCGCCCCAAGAAAAGACCACGCCUCGCUUUCGCUCGUGUCCAAUAGGAGCGACGGGGAGGAGCGGCCGUUUGCUGACGAAGGCGAGGGUAUAUAGGGAGCUGCUGGGGGCGCAGUUCGUUCUUUCACUUCGGGACGUCGGAGUUGCUUGUUGUGGCUUCGGAACAAUGGCGCCGGUUCGCGCUGCUGUGUCUGAGCAGUUCUGUGAAGAUGCUGAGAGGAAAAUUGUAAAACGUCUGGAAGAUACUUGAUGGAGAAGGACUUAGACGAAGCCUGACACGGAUCAGAGGCCAGGGCGUUGCUGAAUGCCAGCAAGGAUAACACAGCAGACACUUCACAUGGGAGUAACAGUGAGAGUCGCUGUUUACCCAUUGAAAAAAGGACAGCUUGGUGGAGAGUGCAGCCUUUCUGUCUAAUACCAGGAAGCUUGUCUGUAUGAAAGUUGAUUAAAGGAUCAAUAUUCCAAGAGAAGGUGAACGUGAAAAGUUUAAAAUUCAGUUAUGCUUCUUAUGGACUUUUCUUUAGCAAGUAAACAAGGUGGGAUUUUAAAGUGUUUUGAAGAUGCUCAGAUAGGAACAUCUGAUGAACCAGAGUUAUGAGUCAUAAUCCCUAAUGAGUUAUCAGUGUUAACUGUCAGAUUUGCAGUGCAAUUAAAGUGUGACUAAAAAACUUACCUUUUGUCUAUAUUGUGUUCUGCCAAUUCUCAAACAUUUCCUUUUAAAUGAGGUGAUGCGUUGUUACUAGAAGUUGAGCCCUGAAUUUUGGGAAUCUG